UGUGAGGCUGAUGUGUAGGCAAAUCCGCACAUCAUUAAGGCUAGGCUGUGAUGGGGAGCGAAAAUUGCAGUAGCGAAGGUCAUGAGUUCAGGCUGCCAAGAAAAGCCUCUAGCCAGGUGAAGGUGCCCGUACCGCAAACCGACACAGGUAGGCGAGCAGAGUAUGCUAAGGCGCUCGGAAGAACUCUCGUUAAGGAACUCGGCAAAAUGACCCCGUAACUUCGGGAGAAGGGGUGCCUCGGUAGGGUGAAUAGCCCGAGGGGGCCGCAGUGAAAAGGCCCAAGCGACUGUUUAGCAAAAACACAGGUCUGUGCGAAGCCGUAAGGCGAAGUAUACGGGCUGACGCCUGCCCGGUGCUGGAAGGUUAAGGGGAGUGGUUAGCCGCAAGGCGAAGCUAUGAACCGAAGCCCCAGUAAACGGCGGCCGUAACGAUAACGGUCCUAAGGUAGCGAAAUUCCUUGUCAGGUAAAUUCUGACCCGCACGAAUGGCGUAACGACUUGGGCGCUGUCUCAACGAGAGAUCCGGUGAAAUUUUAAUACCUGUGAAGAUGCAGGUUACCCGCGACAAGACGGAAAGACCCCAUGGAGCUUUGCUGCAGCUUGAUAUUGGACUUUGGUACGAUCUGUACAGGAUAGGUGGGAGCCUUGGAAAUCGGAGCGCCAGCUUCGGUGGAGGCAUCGUUGGGAUACCACCCUGAUCGUAUCGGAGUCCUAACCUGGUACCGUGAUCCGGUACAGGGACCGUGUCAGGUGGGCAGUUUGACUGGGGCGGUCGCCUCCUAAAAUGUAACGGAGGCGCCCAAAGGUUCCCUCAGAAUGGUUGGAAAUCAUUCGUAGCGUGCAAAGGCAUAAGGGAGCUUGACUGCGAGACCUACAAGUCGAGCAGGGACGAAAGUCGGGCUUAGUGAUCCGGUGGUACCGCAUGGAAGGGCCAUCGCUCAACGGAUAAAAGCUACCCUGGGGAUAACGGGCUUAUCUCCCCCAAGAGUCCACAUCGACGGGGAGGUUUGGCACCUCGAUGUCGGCUCAUCGCAUCCUGGGGCCGAAGUAGGUCCCAAGGGUUGGGCUGUUCGCCCAUUAAAGCGGUACGCGAGCUGGGUUCAGAACGUCGUGAGACAGUUCGGUCCCUAUCUGUCGUGGGCGUAGGAAAUUUGAGAGGAGCUGUCCUUAGUACGAGAGGACCGGGAUGGACGCACCGCUGGUGUACCAGUUGUUCCGCCAGGAGCAUAGCUGGGUAGCUACGUGCGGACGGGAUAAGCGCUGAAAGCAUCUAAGCGUGAAGCCCCCCUCAAGAUGAGAUUUCCCAGUAUGUAAGCCCCCUG
rnacentral:rRNA from 1 species